rnacentral:rRNA from 1 species
UACAGAGGGGGCAAGCGUUGUUCGGAAUUACUGGGCGUAAAGGGCGCGUAGGCGGCCUGCUAAGUCGAACGUGAAAUCCCCGGGCUCAACCCGGGAACUGCGUCCGAUACUGGUUGGCUUGAAUCCGGGAGAGGGAUGCGGAAUUCCAGGUGUAGCGGUGAAAUGCGUAGAUAUUGGGAGGAACACCAGUGGCGAAGGCGGCUCACUGGACCGGUUCUGACGCUGAUGCGCGAAAGCGUGGGGAGCAAACGGG